UUGGUUAAGUUAGAAAGGGCGCACGGUGGAUGCCUUGGCACUAGGAGCCGAAGAAGGACGGGACUAACACCGAUAUGCUUUGGGGAGCUGUACGUAAGCGUUGAUCCAGAGAUUUCCGAAUGGGGGAACCCACUAUCUUUAGUCGGAUAGUAUCCUUACGUGAAUACAUAGCGUGAGGAAGGCAGACCCAGGGAACUGAAACAUCUAAGUACCUGGAGGAAGAGAAAGAAAAAUCGAUUUCCUGAGUAGCGGCGAGCGAAACGGAAAGAGCCCAAACCAAGAAGCUUGCUUCUUGGGGUUGUAGGACACUCUAUACGGAGUUACAAAAGAAAGUUAUAAAUGAAGCGGUCUGGAAAGGCCCGCCAAAGACGGUAACAGCCCGGUAGUUGAAAUGGCUUUCCCUCCAGAGUGGAUCCUGAGUACGGCGGAACACGUGAAAUUCCGUCGGAAUCCGGGAGGACCAUCUCCCAAGGCUAAAUACUCCCUAGUGACCGAUAGUGAACCAGUACCGUGAGGGAAAGGUGAAAAGCACCCCGGAAGGGGAGUGAAACAGUUCCUGAAACCGUGUGCCUACAAGUAGUUAGAGCCCGUUAAUGGGUGAUAGCGUGCCUUUUGUAGAAUGAACCGGCGAGUUACGAUUUGUUGCAAGGUUAAGCGGAAAAAGCGGAGCCGUAGCGAAAGCGAGUCUGAAUAGGGCGCAUAAGUAACAGGUCGUAGACCCGAAACCAGGUGAUCUACCCAUGUCCAGGAUGAAGGUAAGGUAAUACUUACUGGAGGUCCGAACCCACGCACGUUGAAAAGUGCGGGGAUGAGGUGUGGGUAGCGGAGAAAUUCCAAUCGAACUUGGAGAUAGCUGGUUCUCUCCGAAAUAGCUUUAGGGCUAGCCUCGAGGUAAAGAGUCAUGGAGGUAGAGCACUGUUUGGACUAGGGGCCCUUCUCGGGUUACCGAAUUCAGAUAAACUCCGAAUGCCAUGUACUUAUACUCGGGAGUCAGACUGCGAGUGAUAAGAUCCGUAGUCGAAAGGGAAACAGCCCAGACCACCAGUUAAGGUCCCCAAAUAUAUGUUAAGUGGAAAAGGAUGUGGGGUUGCUUAGACAACCAGGAUGUUGGCUUAGAAGCAGCCACCAUUGAAAGAGUGCGUAAUAGCUCACUGGUCGAGUGACCCCGCGCCGAAAAUGUACCGGGGCUAAACAUAUUACCGAAACUGUGGAUGAACCUCUUUAGAGGUUCGUGGUAGGAGAGCGUUCUAAGGGCGGUGAAGUCAGACCGGAAGGACUGGUGGAGCGCUUAGAAGUGAGAAUGCCGGUAUGAGUAGCGAAAGAAGGGUGAGAAUCCCUUCCACCGAAUAUCUAAGGUUUCCUGAGGAAGGCUCGUCCGCUCAGGGUUAGUCGGGACCUAAGCCGAGGCCGAUAGGCGUAGGCGAUGGACAACAGGUAGAGAUUCCUGUACCAGUGCUAAUUGUUUAACCGAUGGGGUGACACAGAAGGAUAGGGAAUCGCACGAAUGGAAAUGUGCGUCCAAGCAGUGAGUGUGAGAAGUAGGCAAAUCCGCUUCUCGCGAAGCAUGAGCUGUGAUGGGGAAGGAAAUUAAGUACGGAAGUUCCUGAUUUCACGCUGUCAAGAAAAGCCUCUAGGAAGAGUAGUACUGCCCGUACCGCAAACCGACACAGGUAGAUGAGGAGAGAAUCCUAAGGUGAGCGAGAGAACUCUCGUUAAGGAACUCGGCAAAAUGACCCCGUAACUUCGGGAGAAGGGGUGCUCUAUUAGGGUGCAAGCCCGAGAGAGCCGCAGUGAAUAGGCCCAGGCGACUGUUUAGCAAAAACACAGGUCUCUGCAAAACCGUAAGGUGACGUAUAGGGGCUGACGCCUGCCCGGUGCUGGAAGGUUAAGAGGAGU
rnacentral:rRNA from 1 species